AUUGAACGCUAGCGGGAUGCCUUACACAUGCAAGUCGAACGGAGUGGCGAACGGGUGAGUAAUGUAUCGGAACGUGCCCAGUAGCGUGGGAUAACUACGCGAAAGCGUAGCUAAUACCGCAUACUAUUUGAUCCGCCGUGAUCGGAUUAUCCGGUUGGUGGGGUAACGGCUCACCAAGGCGCUGAUCCGUAGCUGGUUUGAUAGGACGACCAGCCACACUGGGACUGAGAAACGGCCCAGACUCCUACGGGAGGCAGCAGUGGGGAAUUUUGGACAAUGGGGGAAGCCCUGAUCCAGCAAUCCCGCGUGUGCGAUGAAGGCGUUCGGGUUGUAAAGCACGUUUGGAAGGAAAGCGGUACCUACAGAAUAAGCGCCGGCUAACUACGUGCCAGCAGCCGCGGUAAUUC
rnacentral:rRNA from 1 species